rnacentral:misc_RNA from 1 species
UUGGGCAGUGAAAUUUAUUGAAAAAAGUUAAGAAUAUUAGCAAUUAAAAAUAUAAGAAAUUAAAUAAAUGAGUAAGAAGAUUUAAAAUAAACUAGAUUAGUUAUUUAGUAGAAAGAAUUGAAAUGAAUUGGACUGAUGUUAAAUUUUAUCUAUUAUGAAAUGGCUCUGAGAACAUUAAUUAUUAUAAAAUAAUCUAAGAUAACCUAGCAAAUAUUGAAUGAAAUGAUAAAAAAAUUAGCAAUAGAUAUAUAACUUAAAUAAACAUCACAAAUGUACCUUUUCAUAAUAAUAUAAAGUUAAGAACAAUAUUCUUAGAAUUUUUGUGGAUUGUAUAUUAUUACUGUGAAUUUAGGAAUUAAGCGCUUCUGAAGAGGAAUAAAUUAGAAUAAAAGAUAGUUGAUAUUAGAAGUAUUAUAUUAAAUUAGAUUAAAUUCUAGAGUAUCCAAAUUAUGAUCUAUUCUUUCUUU